rnacentral:rRNA from 1 species
GGGUAUUAACUUGAAUACUUAAGAUAUGGUCCAAUCCAUCGUGAAAGCGAUGGUGCUACAUAGUGAAUGUAGAUGUUCUGGGCCGCACGCGCGCUACACUGACCGAACCAGCGAGUUUAUCACCUUGGCCGGAAGGCCUGGGUAAUCUUGUGAAACUCGGUCGUGAUGGGGAUAGAGCAUUGCAAUUAUUGCUCUUCAACGAGGAAUACCUAGUAAGCGUGAGUCAUCAGCUCGCGUUGAAUUCGUCCCUGCCCUUUGUGUACGAGGGGCAGACAGGUAAUCGUACCUAGUGACAAUCUGUAUGUACUGUCGCAACACUUUCACAUUGCGGGAAAGCUCUCAAGCUCGCGCUACCAAGCUCUGUAUUCGAGAAUCAGAGUGGCAUCCUCAGGAUCGGAUGGUAUGGUUACAAUGCGUUCGAGAUUGGGCAACCCGCAGCCGACUCUAAGCAUCAGUAAUGGUGACCGAGUCAGUCCACAGACUAAAUGUGAGUGGGUCUCAAUGUAGGCUUAAGAUAUAGUCGAAUCCACUAUGAAAGUAGUGGUCAUGAAUGUUGUACACACCGCCCGUCGCUACUACCGAUUGAAUGGCUUAGUGAGGUCUUCGGAUUGGCUUCUGGGAGCCGGAAACGGCACCUAGUCGCUGAAAAGUUGUACGAACUUGGUCAUUUAGAGGAAGUAAAAGUCGUAACAAGGUUUCCUUCUAUUCGUUAUUAAUGCGUUGAUAGCAGAAUAAGGAUGGGUCUUUCUUUCAGGAUUACACCUAUUGAAGCCUUUGCGGAUCUACUAAGAUGUAGAUCUAACCAGCCGACUAUAAAUAUAUUGGUUGUCCGCAAGUCGUCGGGUAGCGGCUAGAUUGUCAAACUGCGGGGAAGCCCUUAGGCCCGAGGUACACCACUCAUAUGCACACGCUUAGAGUGUCGUAAUAAUCCGAGGGAUUGGGUAAU